rnacentral:rRNA from 1 species
UACGUAGGGUCCGAGCGUUGUCCGGAAUUACUGGGCGUAAAGAGCUCGUAGGUGGUUUGUCGCGUUGUUCGUGAAAACUCACAGCUCAACUGUGGGCGUGCGGGCGAUACGGGGCAGACUAGAGUACUGCAGGGGAGACUGGAAUUCCUGGUGUAGCGGUGAAAUGCGCAGAUAUCAGGAGGAACACCGGUGGCGAAGGCGGGUCUCUGGGCCGUAACUGACGCUGAGGAGCGAAAGCUGGGGAGCGAACAGG